CGCGUAGGCGGGUUUUUAAGUUGUGGGUGAAAUCCCGAGGCUCAACCUCGGAACUGCCUGCAAAACUGGAAGCCUUGAGGUAUGGAGAGGGAAGUGGAAUUCCAGGUGUAGCGGUGAAAUGCGUAGAUAUCUGGAGGAACACCCGUGGCGAAGGCGGCUUCCUGGCCAUAUCCUGACGCUGAGGUGCGAAAGCCAGGGGAGCGAACGGGAUUAGAUACCCCGGUAGUCCUGGCCGUAAACGAUGGAUACUAGGUGUUAGAGGUAUCGACCCCUCUAGUGCCGCAGCUAACGCAUUAAGUAUCCCGCCUGGGGAGUACGACCGCAAGGUUGAA
rnacentral:rRNA from 1 species